rnacentral:sRNA from 1 species
GAUAUCAGGGUCAAAAGGUCAAAAAGACGUUCGUGCUUGCACGAAAAGACUUUUGAACUUGGGACCCGCCAAACAUGAGAAAGUAGCGAUUUACGCAGUAAAUCAGCGGAUUUCGAAUGUUUGAGAAUUGUGGGAGCUGCAUUGCAGCGGAGCAAUUCGUGGAUAUC